rnacentral:other from 1 species
AAUUGCCUGGAAUGUACGUUACUCAAAUAUAUGUCCAACCUACAUUAUACAUUCGGGAGUCCGAUGUCGUGCAGCUGCCGAGCCGCCACAGAGCGGAGGGCAAAACCACGGCUAGGACUCCCCACCUGCGAGAAGGCAGGUUUGGACAUAUACGAAAACGGUAUUUUGGGCGAAAC